rnacentral:lncRNA from 1 species
CCGGCACCCCGCCCAGCCCGGACCCCAGGCACCCUCCAGCGUCAGGUGCGGAUCCCCCAGAUGCCCGCCCCGCCCCAUCCCAGGACACCCCUGGGGUCUCCAGCUGCGUACUGGAAACGAGUGGGACACUCUGCAUGCUCAGCGUCCUGCGGGAAAGGUGUCUGGCGCCCCAUUUUCCUCUGCAUCUCCCGUGAGUCGGGAGAGGAACUGGAUGAACGCAGCUGUGCCGCGGGUGCCAGGCCCCCAGCCUCCCCUGAACCCUGCCACGGCACCCCAUGCCCCCCAUACUGGGAGGCUGGCGAGUGGACAUCCUGCAGCCGCUCCUGUGGCCCCGGCACCCAGCACCGCCAGCUGCAGUGCCGGCAGGAAUUUGGGGGGGGUGGCUCCUCGGUGCCCCCGGAGCGCUGUGGACAUCUCCCCCGGCCCAACAUCACCCAGUCUUGCCAGCUGCGCCUCUGUGGCCAUUGGGAAGUUGGCUCUCCUUGGAGCCAGUGCUCCGUGCGGUGCGGCCGGGGCCAGAGAAGCCGGCAGGUUCGCUGUGUUGGGAACAAUGGUGAUGAAGUGAGCGAGCAGGAGUGUGCGUCAGGCCCCCCGCAGCCCCCCAGCAGAGAGGCCUGUGACAUGGGGCCCUGUACUACUGCCUGGUUCCACAGCGACUGGAGCUCCAAGGUGAGCCCGGAACCCCCAGCCAUAUCCUGCAUCCUGGGUAACCACGCCCAGGACACCUCAGCCUUUCCAGCAUAGCUCAAUAAACUUGUAUUGAUCAAG